rnacentral:rRNA from 1 species
CCUACGGGAGGCAGCAGUGAGGAAUAUUGGUCAAUGGCCGGAAGGCUGAACCAGCCAUGCCGCGUGAAGGUCAGUGCCCUAUGGGCGUUAAACUUCUUUUGUGCGGGAGCAAUAAUGGUCACGUGUGGCCAGACGAUAGUACCGUACGAAUCAGCAUCGGCUAACUCCGUGCCAGCAGCCGCGGUAAUACGGGGGAUGCAAGCGUUAUCCGGAUUUAUUGGGUGUAAAGGGUGCGUAGGCUGGGAGGUAAGUCAGCGGUGAAAUGCCCCCGCUCAACGGGGUGAAGUGACAUUGAUACUGGCGUGCUGGAAUGCGGAUGCCGGGGGAGGAAUGUGUGGUGUAGCGGUGAAAUGCAUAGAGAUCACACAGAAUACCGAUUGCGAAGGCAUCUCACGAAUCCGCGAUUGACGCUGAUGCACGAAAGCGUGGGUAUCAAACAGGAUUAGAUACCCGGGUAGUC